rnacentral:rRNA from 1 species
AUGGCGGCGGCGGCGGCGGCGGCGGAGCAGGACUACUGGGGCCUGUUCCGGGAGGAGACGGGCUGGUACAACGAGAUCUUCCUCAGCGCGGUCGUGCCGGGCGGCGGCGGCUGGUGGCGGGCGCUGCCGCACCCGCUCCGCUCCUGGCUGCGCAACUGCAUCGGCGGCUACCUCCUCUACUUCGCCACCGGCUUCCUCUGGUGCUUCGUCAUCUACUACUGGAAGCGCAACGCCUACAUCCCCAAAGAUGCUGUCCCUACAGUAGAAGCUAUGAAGAAGCAAAUAAUUGUUGCAUCAAAGGCUAUGCCGUUCUACUGUGCUCUUCCGUCCGUAUCUGAGCACAUGAUUGAGAGUGGAUGGACACGGUGUUUUUUUCAUAUCAGUGAAGUUGGUUGGCCUAUGUACAUUGUCUAUGUGUCUCUAUAUCUCAUCUUUGUGGAGUUCGGAAUUUACUGGAUGCACAGAGAGUUGCAUGACAUAAAGCCACUAUACAAGCACCUACAUGCAACCCACCACAUUUACAACAAGGAGAAUACCCUAUCACCAUUUGCUGGACUAGCAUUCCAUCCAUUGGACGGGAUCCUGCAAGCCAUAUCGCACGUGAUUGCUCUGUUCCUUCUCCCUAUGCACUUCAGGACGCACAUUGCUCUGUUAUUCAUAGAGGCGGUGUGGACGGCCAACAUCCAUGACUGCAUCCACGGCAAGAUCUGGCCGGUGAUGGGCGCCGGCUACCACACCAUCCACCACACGACGUACCGGCACAACUACGGCCACUACACCGUGUGGAUGGACUGGCUGUUUGGCACCCUCCGCGAGCCGGAGGAUCUCCUCAAGAAGGACUGAGCUCGUGCGAGCGCGGUCUUUCCUGUCUCUUUAGCGGUGUGCUGUUUCAGUCUCAGUCCGGUAGGUGGAAAUAAUAAGGUUGUUCAUUUAGCUUUGUUCCUCUGGGAUGCGGUGAAAUCAAGGGGGCUUGUACCCUUCUCGGCAGCAUGAUGAUGGGUUUGUUUCUUGUUAUAUACAUACAUAGGGCUUGAUGCUGUUUCUGCUCCCAGAGUUCAUAGUGGUUUGGAGAAAAAAUAAAUCCGGGUGGAAGCCGGGUAGUACGUUGGACAAAGUAUGUUUCAAAUGU